AACGAACGCUGGCGGCAUGCCUAACACAUGCAAGUCGAACGAGACCUUCGGGUCUAGUGGCGCACGGGUGCGUCACGCGUGGGAACCUGCCCUUAGGUUCGGAAUAACUCCCCGAAAGGGGUGCUAAUACCGGAUAAUUUCUUCUGACCAAAGAUUUAUCGCCUUUGGAUGGGCCCGCGUUGGAUUAGCUAGUUGGUAGGGUAAAAGCCUACCAAGGCGACGAUCCAUAGCUGGUCUGAGAGGAUGAUCAGCCACACUGGGACUGAGACACGGCCCAGACUCCUACGGGAGGCAGCAGUGGGGAAUAUUGGACAAUGGGCGAAAGCCUGAUCCAGCAAUGCCGCGUGAGUGAUGAAGGCCUUAGGGUUGUAAAGCUCUUUUACCCGGGAUGAUAAUGACAGUACCGGGAGAAUAAGCUCCGGCUAACUCCGUG
rnacentral:rRNA from 1 species